CCUUAAUGACAAACAAAGACAAUGGCAAAACAUCAAUUAAAAAAAUUAACACAAAUACCAAAAUCAUCAGUUCCUGACUUUUUAGCCAGAAUUAUUUGUGUCUCAGUAACAUUAAUUUCUAUGGCAUUUUUAAUGCAAAUGCUGCAUGACUUGAAGAGCUAACAUUAAAUAAAUAAAAUAAAAAAAAGCUUUAAAUUGUAUGUGUUCAUCUACAUCAGCGGUACUCAAUAGGCGGCCCACGGGCCACAUCUGGCCCGUGAGCCCUUUCUUUUUUGCUCCCGAACCUUUCACACCCAAGGAUCCAAUCAGUUCUGUUAUUUUCCUCAUUCGCACUGACUGAGAUAACGGCGCAGUGUGCGUGGCUCUGGUGUUAAUCAGGUUUAAUGUUUCUGUUUGCAACCAUCUUCACAAGAAGGCAAAAUAGUUAAAUGACAGGGUUCGCACGGACCGGAUAUUUCCUGUAUUUGAGUGUUUAUUUUGACGGAGAAAUCUCAAGCCUACAGAUGCGCUGACAUUUUUAUCGUUACACACAUCGUGGAGGUAGCUACAUCAAUCAGGAAAAGAUAACCAUCAGAACAUUUGAGAUGGACACUGAGCUCAGCGCAGCUCGCCGUCAGCGCAUGCGUAUGGUGAACAGCAAGCUGAAGAUGUGUAGAUCGGGGGCUUGGAACGCAUCGCAGAACCAGAACCAUGCAGGAAGAUUCUGUGUUUUCUAAACCCGGUCUCUCAGAGACUAGUCACUUAGAAAAUGUUCCCUGAUUAUGAAUCUUUGGCUUAAUAGCGCUUGUUCCUGUCUCCAACACUACGACGCAUCCAUGAGCCUGUCUGAGGAACAGUCCAGAACCUCACAUCCUCUACGACGCAUCCAUGAGCCUGUCUGAGGAACAGUCCAGAACCUCACAUCCUCUUCAGCUCAGAAAGCGCCUAGAGACAUUUGAUUACGCACAAGCAGGUGACCUGUUCAGGUUUACAUCAUAGACUGUACAUAUACUGGACAAUUCGAUUCCAUAGGCUUCAAUAACACGUUAUCUGUCCAUAAUGGGAGGUGUCCACCACCGCCAUUUUGACCGUGUCACAGGUUCCGUCCAGCCCAGACAAUUCCAUAAAAGGGAAGAGAGGAGGCGCUGAGGGUGGGGCUGUAAGGCUGGGCUCGAGUGACGACACCCAGGCGAACUAGCUACGAGCUAACCUGAAGCUAACCCUGGCUAACCCAAAGCUAAAGCGGAGGUGGGAGCCGAGCUAACGGAUGUAGCCACCUAGCUUCAACCCAACCGGAGCUAACUGGAACACCCAUCGAACUGAACCUCACACGGAGUUUAGGUGGAGGUUUUCUGCGCCUGUUCGUGAGAAGUACCUGUAUUAAAAAAGUUUUAAAUCGGUAAGUUUAUAAUUUAUUUCCGUAAUGAAUACAUUUUGCUUUGAGCAAGUUUUCAGUAGUUUUUUUCGGCGCUAUCACUCCUGAGUCGCACCAGCCAUUAAAUGUAUCAUGAAUAAGAGAAAAUAUAUUUAAGUCGUAUUUUGGGGGGACAUUUUAUUAUCUUUCUUACAAAAUCUGAGACCAAGCGUUUCACAUAGCAACACAAGCACCGGUAACCAUAACAGAAUGAACAACAGCCAGCAGAGGAGAGGAUGGCGGUGUUUCAAACCCUCCCGGCCGGCGAGGACAGCUCAUUCCUGGGCUGGAGCCGGCCCUCAGCACCCCGCCACAGGCUCUAACAGAUGCUGGCGGUGUUUGAAACCCUCCCAGCGGGACAGGGGAACUCAUUCUUGUGUGGGUCGGAGUCGGCCCGCAGCAGCGCGGUGUAGCCUACAUAUUUUGUUAUAUAAGUCGCUCCGGAGUAUAAGUAGCAGGACCUGCCAGAAAAUGUAAAAAAGUGCGAGUUAUAGUCCGGAAAAUAUUGCAGUUAUUAGUAUUCGAGCUAAAUUAGCAGCGUAAAUACAUUUCAUAUAUUUCCAAAAUGUUAUACUUGUUUGUAUCUUGUACAGCCAACUAGUCUUUAUUCUGGACUCAGUACAAUUUAUCAAAAGUAAAGAGACAUUCUACAGAUGAAGUAAGCACAAGAUAACUUACUGGAAGACACAGAGUUAUCAUGAGAACCAGAACAAGAGAGCCUGAUAACAGUCAUGUGAAAAUAACAGUUAAAAAGUAUGUAUGUAUAAUAGAAAUAAAAAUAUAUUAGAAUUAGUGUAACUCACUGUGAUCCAAACAAUAAAUCAGCCAUAGCUGAUUAGUAAAUAUGACAUGAGGUCUGGGAGUUUUUAAGUUUCAUUUUUAUUUUUUUGUUAGAUCUGUUUAAAUGUCACCAUGGCAGCCUGUGUGUCUCCAACAUCAGCUAUGCAAAGCAGCAAGUCCAUUUGGAUAAUUGGAGACAGCUACGUGAGGCGUGGUGCCCAGAGAGCUGCAGAGACAACCUUGGCCUCCCUGACGUCUGUGUCUCCUGGUUUGGUUGGGGUGGACCAUCGACAUACAUACAUGUGCCGACACUUUGCGCCCUGUUUUAUAAAAUGUAGUGUUAAAAAUAAAUGUUUUUGCUCAAUUACUGGAAUUUCUUUGGUUAAGACAAAAGUGAGGAAUAAUCAUUUACAAGUUAUUUGUACAACAGGCCCAUUUUAAAUCCCAACAGUUUCUUAGCAGACAAUAGAAAUGUGUUCUUUACUAACUUUACUUGGUUUAAAAAUCUUACUAAAAUAGUGCCGUAUUGCAAAACCCAAUCAUACUUGUUAUGUAUACAUUAGUUUUGUAGAUAUUUUUUAGAUAUAUAUUUGUGUGCAACAAAUCCAAACUUAAAUAAUUUGUCAUUCUUUAUUGAAAAACAACAAAAUACAGUUAUACAGAAGUGUGGGAAAAUGAUAAUGUGAAAGUAUUGCUAUUUAAAUGUAAUCCUAUUUAUCUUUAAAAAGAAAAACUCUAAAAAUGUCCUGUACAGCAUCAUGACAGAAGAAUGGUGGUCUGUCUGUCAGAAUGUGCUGAACAGAUUUGCUCUUUGAAGAGGAGUGUCAUGUUUGGAGGAAGGUACUUAACCCAAGACAUGCAGAAUACACCACUGACCAAAAACUGAUGGAAAAAAUGAUUUAUUUAUAAGGAGGAACUUAAGGUGCACAGAUAAGUCUGUGGUUGGAACUGCAACAACAGCUCAGCGUCUGGAGGAGGGAGAACACAGGUGAGCUUAGGUUCUGGUUUCAAAAUCCAUUGUAGGCAGGCAGAGGUGUUCAGCAGACUUACUGUGGUGGGUGUAUGUGUUGGCUGGAGGAGGGAGAGGUAGAGAGGAAGCGCAGGAGAGGGAGCAGAGGUGGAGAGAAGCGGGGCGUCCUGGUGGAUGGGGCACUGGGUGAGAUGAGAGGUGGGUUAUGGAGGGUGGUGAUAAGGUCCGUGUGUUGAAUAUCCAAAUCCUGGAGUAGAGGUCAGUAUCCAAUGAGGUCGACAGGAAUCCUGAAGAAUGGUAAAUCCAAUAUAAUCCUAGGAACACUAGAGGUAACACGAGUGGCUGGUUACUACCAAAACUGAGGCAAUCUUCUGGCGUCAAAUUGUGUCCUCCAUCCACCUUAAAUAGGAAAGCACCCCGCUGAUCGCUGAUCAGGAACAGCUGGGGUGUAGUCACCAGAACCAUGAAGAAUGUGUCUCCAGAGACAACUCGGGUCCUGGUACCAAUCAGGAAAGCGGACCUUAUCACCCAGAGCUGCCAGGUCACGCUCAAAGCCUUCAUGUUCACGCUGCAGAGCCUGAACGCUGGCUAGGUGGUGGCCGUAGUUGUCUGUGUUCAGGGCCUGGUUCUUCUCCUCGAUCCACUCUUUGGUCUCAUCAGCGUCUCUGAGAAGACAUCAGAACUCCGUCUGAGUGUGGGUCCAAACUCUACUGACCCGUAAGCGGCGCAUAAGUGUGCGGGGUACCUGUGGAAGCGCUACACCUCAUGGGCGCUGCCCAGCAUGUUGCAGCGAGCGCCAGCGGUUGUUCAGCUCCUGGAGAGAAACCAAACCCAGUGAGAUGAAGGUGGACGCCAGCGGGCUGGACGCCGGACGAGGAAACCUGGAGACGGAUCGCUCAGACAGGAAGGGAAGAGCUUCCUCUUACCUUGAUGGAAUUAAAGUUAGCCGUCGUCUGAACGCCCAACCGUACGGUCUGAGGUCAAAGGUCACAGGAAACACACACCAGUCAGCAGUCAUACAGAUGCAUAAAGAUAACUGUAGCCAUGGCAACCAGCUGACAUGUCCCCACUUUCACCAGCACCUGGUGCCUGCCGGGUCACCUGAAUUCCUGUGUGAUUUCAGCACGGUCGGCCGUGACUGCGGCCAUCAGAGGUGACCUCUGAUCAGCUGAAUGAACUCACCUUCUAGGGUGACGCCGUCUAACCCCGGGUUUCCACGGGAGCCGUCAGCAGCACGUUACUGCAGCAGCUUGUCUUGCUCGCGUAAGCUGCUGCUCGGCCCUUCCCGCGACAUGCUGCUCCUGAGACGUGGCCGACUCGCGCUGCUGACGGCUCCGGUGGAAAAGGUUCUGUUGACCACAGCGGUUCCUAUCAGCAGCUAUGACGUGCUGCUGCAGUAACGUGCUGCUGACGACUCCUGUGGAAAGCCGGGGUCAGAGUCGGCUUCAUCCUGUAAACAAACAAAUGAGUGGUAACAAAAACACCACGUCUGGUUCUGGUGGAGGCGGAGGACAACACGCACCUUUCCAGGAGCAGAACCCAGAUGUUCUUGUUGCUACAAACAGAGACGAGCAGAGUUAACAAACCAGGAAGUGAGAGGGACCAGCUGCUGCAGACAGGUGACGCUCACCUGAGCCUGAACCAUAGGAGCCUCCUCAGCCAUCAGACCUUCUGACUCCAGUUCAGAUGCCACCUUGUUGAUGUCCCUCAGGCGGGACUCGUUGGCCUUCAGGUCCUGCAGGACAAAAGCACCUGCUGAUUAUCACCUGAGCUGAUCUGACAGCUGCUGCUGGAAGACGGAGAGGAGGAAAAGUCCGACCUUCUGGAAGUCGUCAAACUUCUUCUGCAAGACCUCGACCUGCUCCAGGUCCGACCCGUCUCUCCAUCCUCAUUCAGCUAAAGACGCGAGUUCAAGUAAAACAACCUAAAGUCACACAAACACAAAGCAGGUGUGGAGAUGUUCGCUCUGAGCUGGAGGUCGUUCCUCGGCUGUGAAGGGCACACGAACCUUGUUGGUGCUGUUGAGCAGCGUGAGGAUGUCGCCCUUCUUCAUGGUGACCUCUCCAGGACUCUUCUCCUGGUAGUCGUACAGAGCCAGAACCAGCUCCUUCCCGGUCUCAUCGUCAGUUGGAGCCACUUGUUGCUGUCGGGUUAACAGGUCUGGUGUUAGAACGUGGUGGAUAAGAAUGUUCUGAUGGGCCGAGGGUUCUGAACCAGCGAAGUGACCUGGACCCAAACAAAGUGAGCCAGAACCUGCAGACACCUCAGAAACAUGUCAGGACCAGACCUGCUCUACCUUCUUCCACCAUGGUCUCUCCUUUCUGGGUGACAGCCUUGAUGCGAGGUUCAUGACCUGUGAUCUCAGCCUGCAGAGCCUGGUGCUUCUUCAGCAGGUUCUGGACACCAAUCAGGUCCUUCCC